AGCGAACGCUGGCGGCAGGCUUAACACAUGCAAGUCGAGCGGGCAUCUUCGGAUGUCAGCGGCAGACGGGUGAGUAACACGUGGGAACGUACCCUUCGGUUCGGAACAACUCUGGGAAACUGGAGCUAAUACCGGAUACGCCCUUAUGGGGAAAGGUUUCCUGCCGAAGGAUCGGCCCGCGUCUGAUUAGCUAGUUGGUGGGGUAACGUGCUACCAAGGCGACGAUCAGUAGUUGGUCUGAGAGGAUGAGCAGCCACACUGGGACUGAGACACGGCCCAGACUCCUACGGGAGGCAGCAGUGGGGAAUAUUGGACAAUGGGCGCAAGCCUGAUCCAGCCAUGCCGCGUGAGUGAUGAAGGCCUUAGGGUUGUAAAGCUCUUUUGUCCGGGACGAUAAUGACGGUACCGGAAGAAUAAGCCCCGGCUAACUUCGUG
rnacentral:rRNA from 1 species